rnacentral:tRNA from 1 species
GCGCCUAUAGCUCAACCGGAUAGAGUGUCUGACUACGAAUCAGAAGGUUGGGGGUUCGACUCCCUCUGGGCGCACCA